AGAUUGAACGCUGGCGGCGUGCCUAACACAUGCAAGUCGAGCGGUAACAGGUGUAGCAAUACAUGCUGACGAGCGACGAGCGGGUGAGUAAUGCUUCGGAAUCUACCCACGGGUGGGGAAUAACCAACCGAAAGGUUGGCUAAUACCGCAUAAGUCCUACGGGGGAAAGCGGGGGACCGAAAGGCCUCGCGCUGAAGGAGCGGCCGAUGUCCGAUUAGUUAGUUGGUGGGUAAAGGCCUACCAAGGCUACGAUCGGUAGCUGGUCUGAGAGGACGACCAGCCACACUGGGACUGAGACACGGCCCAGACUCCUACGGGAGGCAGC
rnacentral:rRNA from 1 species